rnacentral:lncRNA from 1 species
UAUAAAGCAAUAAAGGGACUUGAUUUAUAUUAGAACAGGUGAAGUUUAUAUUAACCCAAGAGAAAUGGUCUAAGACAAUUACACAUCUUCCUGUACAUUAUAGAGCCAGUGUAGUCUCUCUUCUCUCUCUCUGUAAUGGAAGUUACAAGUUACAGUAUAAGUAACAGAGUAUUUUGUAUGUGUUGUUAUUCAAAACUUUUCAGAACUUAGCACAAAAACAACAAGAACGUUGCGAUUUUUAUACACCGGGGCUGUGACUAUGAGCGAGUAAUUUCUCCUGUUCGCUGUUGAUAUCGUUUUGGAGUGAAAGAGGAUUAGACUGAUGAGAAGUAUGCUUGGGAUUGUUGAUUUUGUACCAUACAUUCUCUAUACGGAAAAACGCCCACUGGAAUCGCCUGUAAAUCUCCAAAGCAGUGAUGAUGAACACAGUGAUGUAGUUGUUACGGAGAUGAGCUGAUAACUUGUACGUCCAUGUCCACCUUAGUAUCAGAUUGCUUCCGAUUACCCAAACAUAUACCUGNN